UUGCUAUAAACAUUGUAAUAAUGUUUUAUUCGCAAUAAAGUUAUUUGUAUUGUAAUAUUAGAAACGAUUGGAGGCUAAUAUUGAAUUCAAUUUGUAGAUGAGUAACAUGCAAUUAUUUUCAAUAGUCCAUGCAGAACAAAGUGUAUACACAUAAUCUUAUUAAUUUUCGAAAACAAUAAAAGUUUUUAUUCACACCCGAACGAAUUUUUGCGUGGGUAGUAGUUACUAAUCGACCUUUAAAAUUCCUAUAAAUAAGACACGUUAGAUUAUUGGCUAUAUAGACACAGAACCAACAUCAUGGGGCGAGUGACAUUGUGAUGGGAAUUAAGGCAACACCGUUAUCAUAUAAGACGUAAAAGCUGUACAGUUAUUGGUUAUUUAUUGGAGAAAUCUACUUAGGUUAAACUGUCUAAAGUUCUGAAACUUGACGCCCUUGAAAACUCCACAGGAUUGCUGAAAGAUGAUGUUCCCAGGCAGUGUACAUGUACUUUUUCUUUUCGCAUUUACUCAGCUAUUAUGUCUGAGUGCCUUUGCGGCAUUUGUUCCGGAUUCAAAUAACGUCAUGGAUGACAUCAGUUAUGACGAAAUAUCUAAACCGGAUAUUAGUCAAACUGAAGAUGGACAAUUCUACAAAAUGUUAAGCAAAAUUCUCACAAGUUAUCUAAACAGAUUAGAGCAGCGACACAUAGUUGAUGGAUACCUAUCGAACACAAAUAUGCCUUAUAAUAAACCAUCUAAACGGACAUCUGAUGCUUUCACAGGAUUUGCUAAAAGAAAGGUUUUCUGGCAACCCCUUGGCUAUAAUCCAACAGGAGGUUCCGGUGAAAAUAGAGGUUCAUCUGGAAGUGGACGUGGACCAGUCUUUAGAUAUGGCUAAAAAUUAAGUCGUACAUCACAAACUGACAUGGGUCAGGCAAAACAAAACAGUCAUAUUAUAUCAAUAAUAAAUUUUCGAUCUGAAAGGAUAAAAAAUGACAUUUAGAUCUAUCAUAUGCAAAAUGUUCAGCACUAAAUACAACGCAUUAUAUAAACUUUUAAAGGAAUAAAAGGAACAUUUAGAUCUUUCGUUUGCAAAAUGAUCAGCAGUUAAUACAACGCAUCAUAUAAACUUUUUAAUAGAAAUCACUUUAUGAAUAAUAAGAAUAUAUCAUCAGAUAGUUUGUCAUGAAUAUGAAUAAUUUAAGAAUCAUAUCAGAUGCAGCGAUUACUGAAACGGAAAAUUUAUUAUUUGUAUUUAGAUCUCAGAUGUUGUAAUCUGAUGUUAGAAACUUCAUUAAUGCAUUAAAACAUUUCUUGUUCAAACAAUCAAUCUUUUAAGACAAUAUUGAAUCAGUGUUAGAUAGCCUGAUACAUUUUUUUAUCAUCGAAACAAUAUUCAUUUGAAGAAUAGAAAAUAUAUUAUUAUUCUACCAAACACAUCAAAAUAAAAUCCAAUUAGAUUAAUUAUUUGGAGAAACUUUAGAAUCAAUCUAAGAUAAACCAUUAUUUGAUAUCUAUUAAGUAAUGUGUUUGUAAUAUCUAAGUGUAUUCAAAUAUUAUUACGUGCUAAUAUUACUUUUUUAACAAUCAUCAUUAGAUGCAAUUAUGCAUCAAUUAUACAGUGUUAUACGCCUAUUUACCUUUUACAAAUAUUGACCCUUUGCUAUUAAUAACAAAAGUGUUAGAUAAAUGAUUGUAUUGCCAUUUGUCAGAGACGUUUAAAGACCGGUCAGAGAUGUUUAAAAACCUGUGAGAGUAUAGAAUAAAAAAAUGUAAUAAGGAAUUUAACACCAAUUGCACACAUUAUUUUGUUGUUUUUGAUUUUCUCACGAGUACGUUAUCAUGCUUAUUUCAACCUCGUUUCGGGUUUUUUAGUUUAAAAAUAAUAAGAAAACAAAAAAAUACAUACCAUACGAAUAACAAAAUAAAAAUGCUAGCCUCAAAUAUA